ACCAUUUUGGCUGCCAAAAAUUCAGAGGUGAAGUUUGCUAUCUUCUUCGUUGUUCUCUUGACGACCACUUUAGUUGAUAUGUCUGGAAUUUCGAAAAUGCAAGUGAUGGCUCUUCGAGACAUACCCCCACAAGAAACAUUGCUGAAAAUGAAGCUAUUUCCCCCAAAUAUUUUGUGACUUUGUGACGAACCUUGCAGCUCAAACUCUGAUCGCAUCGGAGUUACCCUUUGCCAAUUUUGUAAGGAGAAGACGGACCAGUAUGGUUUAACAUACCGUACAUGCAACCUGUUGCCUUGAACAAUAUCAAUGAUCUAUCGAUCGAUCGAUCGAUCUAUCUAUUUAUCUGUCUCUAUAUGUGUGCGCGUAUCAUUUAGUGUUGUCUGUACCUUUGGUGUGACGAAUAUGAAUAAAGGGAUAAAUAUAUCUACAUAUAUUCUAGGUAAUGUCCUAUUGUAUUUAAAAUUCGUAGCAAUAACUGUUUGAAUAAAAACAUACCAUGAGUGAAAUAAUUAUUCCACAUUAAUUCACGUA